rfam:Pteropus alecto contig105889, whole genome shotgun sequence.
GUCUACAAUCAUGUCACCCUGAACAAGCCCGAUGUCUGAUCUCGGAAGCUAAGCAGGGUCAGGCCUGGUUAGUACUUGGAUGGGAGACCACCUAGGAAGACCAGGCAUAAAUAAUAGGCA